CAUCUUUUCUUGUUAGUUUUUGAAGUAUGGCCUGCCCACUGACUUGGAGUUGAAGGGCCGCGGUAUUUUGACCGUGCAAAGGUAGCAUAAUCAUUAGUUCUUUAAUUGUGAUCUGGUAUGAAUGGCUUGACGAGACAUAAGCUGUCUUAGAGGUAUUGGUUUAUUGAAUUUGGUUUUUGAGUUAAAAUUCUUAAAUGUUUUUAUGGGACGAGAAGACCCUAUAGAGUUUGACAAUUUUCCUAUUUAUUCGUUGUUUGUUUUAUUUACAUUGAGUGGGAGUGAAUUGUUUUGUUGGGGUGAUGGGAGGAAUAUUGUUUAACUCCUCUUUGUUUUUAUAUAUUUAUGUAUAUAUUUUUGAUCCAUUUAUUUUGAUUAUAAGAUUAAAUUACCUUA
rnacentral:rRNA from 1 species